AGCACCUGCCCACACCUGGCCUCAGCUGGUGCCAGCACGCGUUUCACGUUCAGGGCCGUCAGUCUUUUCUCAUAGAUUCAGGACAGAGGUUGGAGGAGCUGCACGGGCUUGUUCCUGGUGUUUAACGGAGAGGUGGGAUGGCGGACACAACCCAGCAACGACGGAUCCCGAGGAGCAAUGGCAGCUGCUGCCAGCCUGCAACUGGCUCUGGCUUCAGCUUCUCCAGAGCUACACAGCCAGAGAGUGUUAAAAAACAUCCCUGAAGGUUCAGACACAGACACCCCAGUGCGAUCCGAGUCUCAGAAUCCCAGAGUCAUUUAAUUUGGAAAAGACCUCCAAGAGUAUUGAGUCCAUCUCUUGCCUGAUCAUCACUUUGUCAACCAAACCAAAGCCCCGAGUUCCACAUCCAGUCGAUUCCUGGACACCUCCAGGGAUGGAAACUCCAUCCCCUCCCUGGGCAGCCGUUCAGUGCCUGACACCCUUUCAAUAAAGUUCUCUGUGAUGUCCCA